rnacentral:lncRNA from 1 species
UCACACACAUAAAAAAGUUAGAAGUGUGGAUUGUUUCGCGUACAAUAUAUUUUAUGAAUUAGUUGCGUCUACUGAUCAAUUUUGUUCAUUUUACCAGAAAAGAAGGAAGCCGAACCCAUCACCCAGGUUCGGUGAUCAUUGUCGGCAGACGGAAACGGAUCUAUACCCAUCCGUUCCCCCAAAACAAAAAAAGGAUCUAUGCCCAUCCGUGAUCCGCAACUGCGAUCGUGCCUUGCCAGAAAGCGAUGCGAAUCACGCGGGGUAUGGGCAGCGUAAUCGUGCAAUGCGGCAGCAGCAAAGACACUCCAUCGAGAUCGAGAUGAGAUCAUCCGUCUGACAAUCUGAUCCACUGCGGCCUGCGCUACGCCUUUCGCCAUCGUCGCGGCCUUGAUGAUUGGCUCGAUGAGAAUACGCAAGAUUUACUAGGUAAAUGCCACCUUUUUUUUUCUGUUCGCAUCGUAUUCUGGUAACGGUACACAUUCUCUGCCAGCAGCCGGCUCGAUGGACCGCCGGCAACGGUGACCUGAACCUGCUCCUUGGUUUGUACGUAGCACAUCUCAAUUAGUGUAGCACCUGAAACUGAAAGUGUCCAUCGGACGAGCUGCUCCCCAAUCUGGCUGAGACGUUGACGCAAUGUUCCCUAAUCAUAA